AUGAAAGCCAACCAACACAGUGCGGAAGCUCUGAAAGCAGUGCUAGAACUAUAUUGUGAGGCUUCGGGACAAUUGGUAAGUGUUGAAAAAUCCAACAUUUUCUUCAGCCCUAACACAAAGGUGGAAUUAAGAGAACAGUUGUGUAUAAAGCUGAAUAUAUUGAUGGAGGCUCUUAGUGAUAAGUAUUUGGGUUUGCCAGCAAAUGUGGGAAUUGAUAAAACAGACUAUUUCCAAUUUCUGAUUGAACGUAUUGUUAAGAAAAUUAGUGUCUGGAAGGAAAAUUUACUAUCUGCUGGGGGAAAGGAGAUCUUGCUCAAGGCUCUGAUCCAAGCCAUACCCACCUAUGCAAUGUCGGUCUUUAAAAUACCUAAAAAAAUUGUAAAGGAAUCAUUGACGCGAUAG
rnacentral:rRNA from 1 species